ACCAUCGGACCUUAUUUGUCAGCUUGGAUCACGUGAUCCAUCCAGCUGCCGCGUGCGGCAAACAGCCCAAAUAGCGCUAACUCUGGCCUGCGAGCGUUUGCUGCGACUAGCGCGCUAGCGCUCGUGACAUACACAAACGCGCUAGCCAGAAUGCUUUGACUUUGAUGGCUUUCAGCUUCUAUUUUUUGAAAAGUAGCGCGCUCAGACCAGCUCGCUCACUCUUUUCCUCUUCCAUUUUUUAGGGCAAUUGUUUUGUUUGAUAGACGAAGCUUAGGGUCUCUUUGGGUUUGCAACCCUUACCCUCCUGGAAAAAAUCAUAGUUGUGCUAGACUGCGACACUUCAGACCAGGUACUAUUAGAGCCGCUAAUGGACGACGAGCUAUUUUCCGCUAUCCGGAGCUCAAGCAUUUGAGCCGCUAAAUGGACGAGACUCCUGAGGUAAAGGAUGCAGAGAAUGAGGAGAGAACACUCGUAUGGAGCAGGGAGUAGGUAGUGUACUACUUUCUGGUAUGGAGCACUGAGAAGCGCUUGGUGACAUCGUCCAAGAUCGACAGGGAUGGCGGGUCACCUGCCGUGACGCUGUCGACGCUAUUGUCCAGUCCCGCAUGGAGCCUGUGGCGAAGCCCCUCAUUUGUGGCACUUGUGCGCGCAGUUUUCGUCGGCCACAGGAUAUUGCGACGCACAAGUGUAACGCUGUUCGCGCGGCCCGCGCGCGCUGAGUAUGGCGUUCCCCGCCCGGUGGACAACACGUCUCCUGGUCUGCCCCGUAUGGGGCCACAUAGCCAGUCAUGGCAGUGGAAGAAGGAAGGAAGCUUUCACUGUCCAGGAGCGACACUGACUCGCACUGCUAACUGGUGCUCACGAGGUGUUUGUCGCGCUGCAAACGGAGCGUCUCUCAUUAGGCGAUUUGAUCGCAGGACGAGAGAGGAGCUGAUGGACGAUCUCUCCAAUGUUCCACUUGGUUCGGAGCGGCGCCGAGUGCUGACGUUGGGACUUGGCCGGUGUGUGCACACCGCUAGCUAAACCGACCAACGGCUACUCCCAGGGCACAAACUAUUCUGCUGGAGGCAGCGUCGUCUUCGGCUGAAAUUCCGGAUACAACCUGCAGGGAAGCAUUGUGCGCAUCUGCCAGAUUGACGGUUCCUGGAGUGGGGCAGCUGCCUCAUGUAAUCCCAUUCAACUGCAGUGCCAGUCUGGCUACCUGCCCUGCCUGCGUUCCAGCCUGUGGCUGUAUCCUGCCAUCACAGCGCUGCGACGGUGUUUGGUACGACUGUGCUGAUGGCUCUGAUGCACAGUACUGCCCAGGCAAGGUCACACCAGCUCCAGGUCAAACCGACUGCCAGGUCCUGUCACCACCGGCACUGGGCUCAAUGACCGUGAACGGCUUGAUGUUCAGCAACACGACCACGUUUGUGUGCAGUCUCCCUAUGUCCUUAUGGGCUCGGUCGUGUGUACUUGUGAAAUCAACGGCCAGUGGAGCGGUGUGCAGCCAACUUGCGUCCUGACGACUGCUGCUCUGAGUGCGGCCAGUGACGAGCUAGUCAACGACUCCGUCUCAGAACGCAUGACACAAACGUGUAAGCCUAGUAUUGCUGCAUAAUUAAGAGCAAUUUCUCCUACUGCUGACUGCUGAAAAUGUUGUGUCCUUCACAACUAGUCUCUUUGUUCUAAGAAGUCUGCCUCUUUCAUCGAUUCGUGUUUACCUAGCUGCGUUACGCUAUUAGUAGCCUACUACCUGUUGUGCAAUGGGGCUGGCCUAAAAGCUGCUCGCUCAACAGUUGUGUUGCAUGGCAUAGAGGGAGAUACGGCAAGCCACCUCGGCAUAUUUGCGGAUAGAGCUUUUAUUAGAAAGGAAAAGGACAUAUGGAUACGAGUUAGGAGUAACUGUCCACCACUGUAACUAGCUACUACAGUAAAAAAAUGCAACAACUAGGCACAAAACUGACAGAGUGCUGAGACAUUCGACGACCUGACUCCUAGCUUCAACACAUCUCCGUAGCGCUAACCAAAAGCCUUCCAACUUGGAAGGUUCAAGGUUAAAAGGAGAGACCAAAGAGGGGAAGGUAAGCGCAACGAAAAUGAGCACAAGCUAGUAGUUGAAGCUACAGUCCCACAAGAACAAGAAAUGUUGAUUGUUACUGGACGAUGACGAAACCAGUAUUACCUUUCCCUCUUUGGUCUCUCCUUAACACUACGGAGAUGUGUUGAAGCCAGGAGUCGGGUCGUCAAAUGUUUUAGUGCCUGGUUGUUGCACUUUCUGACUGUAUUUAGUAUAUAGUGACAGUUACUCUACACUCAUAUCCAUACGUCCUUUUCCUUUCUACAUUAAUUUUAUUAUUGCCAUAUUGGCUCAACAUCCGAGUUUCAAAGAGCUUUUAGUGGACGACUUAAUCCAUUUUCGGCAAUACUUACAACGAUCCAAUCAGUCAUAUUGUAGAUCAGGCUAUGCUGUGGGUAAGUAUACUACUGGCCUUGUAUGGCUUAUUGUUUGCCAGCGAGUAUUUAGCAUCAUCUACUAGUAUUCACUCUUUUGACAGCCAAAGAGUAUUUGUGUGGGAGGCUGGGAGUCUCGCACCUGACUUGGUCACGUUGCGCCUGAAGGUCACUAAGACGCGGCCAUAUACGGUGGAGCCGUCGCAGUUCCAUCUACUGUCGACCAAACAUGCCCGGUAUUGGCUAUUCCGGUACAUGACAGCCCAUGCCUGUAGCACCAAGCCUGUGUUCACUUUUGCCAAAGGGAUCCACCUUACUCGGCCUUAUUUAAAUAAGAUACUCUGUCACGCUCUCAACUGUUAUCAGGUUAGCUCCUGCUCCAUGCCCAUUGUUGGAGCGACAGUCCUGGAAUCCAGAGUUGCAAGUGAGGUGGUGAUACGGCAAGCAGACGGUGGCAAAAGUACGGCUUAAAAGCUCUACAUCUGGCAAGUGGCCGGCAUACCACCCCAAUGGACAUCGGAACAGUACACGUAGAGUAGCAUCUCUACGUGACAGGGUAUGAGCGCAAGCCAGUAUUGCCAAGCACUGGGGACCUUUGGCAAUCUGAAGAAUGUUUUGUCCGAGAAUCGAUCCUUGGAUCUGUGGCGUUGCAGUUGUGGUGCUCCCGACCCUCUUGCGCGAUGGCCGCGGAGACCUAGCGAAAAGGUUCGAGACAUACGGCAUCUCAAUAUCUUCCACCACAAUCAGUACAUCAGCACCACCAUCGAGUGUAGCGACAUCAGCAAUAGAAGACGCACAUGAUAUCAUCCACCCUUACGGCCUUAGCGAAGACCCGGGAAUACCUGAGAAGAUGUUAGCCGCAACUUUACUGGAAAAGUCGUCGGUGACAACGGCACUCCAUAUUUUAGCUGCAUGCAGUUAGGUCUCUCAACAAGUGUACCGAAAGUUUUCAAGCUAAUACACAAGCAAAUUCACUAGGGGCCGAGUAUAUUUUCCUACACCUCUCCCUGUUUUUGUUGUUAUUUCUGCAUUCAAAUUGUUUGUGUACCUGUACAUUUAUUACAGUAGAGCCACGCAUCCACAGCUGUUGUUUCCAAGGGGUCAGGCUCGUCAGUUAUACAAAACCUUUCAGCAAUCUGGCCUUAGGCUUAGUUCCUUGACUUUUUGUACCACUUUCUUAGAUGCACAUCCCACUGGAUAGUGAGCAAUACGUGUGUACCAGAAUCUGUAUUCCAGAAAAGCAGAGACUCGAGUCUAUUGACACUGCGUUUCUUUUUAAAACGUUAUUGGCUGUGGUGUACCUAGAGGUAUACACGUACAUUCCUGGGUCCCACGUUCUGUGACGCCCGACUGUAUUCGUGGUGCCUCAACAACUUUUAAUUUUGUGCGCUCGGGAAAACCUGCCGGAGA